rnacentral:rRNA from 1 species
UACGAAGGGGGCUAGCGUUGCUCGGAAUCACUGGGCGUAAAGCGCACGUAGGCGGAUCUUUAAGUCAGGGGUGAAAUCCUGGAGCUCAACUCCAGAACUGCCUUUGAUACUGAGGAUCUUGAGUCCGGGAGAGGUGAGUGGAACUCCGAGUGUAGAGGUGAAAUUCGUAGAUAUUCGGAAGAACACCAGUGGCGAAGACGGCUCACUGGCCCGGUACUGACACUGAGGUGCGAAAGCGUGGGGAGCAAACAGG